rnacentral:rRNA from 1 species
GAUGAACGCUGGCGGCGUGCUUAACACAUGCCAGUCGAACGGAAAGGCCCAAGCUUGCUUGGGUACUCGAGUGGCGAACGGGUGAGUAACACGUGGGUGAUCUGCCCUGCACUUCGGGAUAAGCCUGGGAAACUGGGUCUAAUACCGGAUAGGACCACAUUUUGGAUGGUGUGGUGGAAAGUUUUUCGGUGUGGGAUGAGCUCGCGGCCUAUCAGCUUGUUGGUGGGGUAAUGGCCUACCAAGGCGUCGACGGGUAGCCGGCCUGAGAGGGUGUACGGCCACAUUGGGACUGAGAUACGGCCCAGACUCCUACGGGAGGCAGCAGUGGGGAAUAUUGCACAAGGGGCGCAAGCCUGAUGCAGCGACGCCGCGUGGGGGAGGACGGCCUUCGGGUUGUAAACUCCUUUCGCUAGGGACGAAGCGUUAUGUGACGGUACCUGGAGAAGAAGCACCGGCUAACUACGUG